rnacentral:rRNA from 1 species
GGCUCAGGACGAACGCUGGCUGCGUGCUUAACACAUGCAAGUCGAACGCUGAAGCCGACAGCUUGCUGUUGGUGGAUGAGUGGCGAACGGGUGAGUAACACGUGAGUAACCUGCCCCUGAUUUCGGGAUAAGCCUGGGAAACUGGGUCUAAUACCGGAUACGACCUCCUGACGCAUGUUGGGUGGUGGAAAGUUUUUCGAUCGGGGAUGGGCUCGCGGCCUAUCAGCUUGUUGGUGGGGUAAUGGCCUACCAAGGCGACGACGGGUAGCCGGCCUGAGAGGGCGACCGGCCACACUGGGACUGAGACACGGCCCAGACUCCUACGGGAGGCAGCAGUGGGGAAUAUUGCACAAUGGGGGAAACCCUGAUGCAGCGACGCAGCGUGCGGGAUGACGGCCUUCGGGUUGUAAACCGCUUUCAGCAGGGAAGAAGCG